ACCUCACCCGCCCUGCCCAGCGCGGCAGCUGGCACAGCUGGACUUUGAGACCCUUAUCAGGUGGCGGAGGUGCCGGGAGGGGAGCGGAGCGGAGGUGCCGAGGGGUGUGGAGGUGUGCCCACAAGGGUGUGAAGGGGCUACACCCAGCUGCGGCAUCCCCCUGCCAGGGGCACCGCACGGGUGCAGCCCCUAAACCCCUCAGGGGGACCCAGUGGGUGCUGCCCCGCUGGCUGCCAAGCCCUGGUACCUGUCAAGGUGUCGGGGUGCCCCUCCCGGUACUCUAGGGUUGCACAAAAAGCCCUUUUGUACCUCCUGCGGCAGGCAGGGCCGGGGCUCGCUGCCAGGACGGUGGCACACGGUGGCGUCCUGCCCGCCCCGGCCCAGCAGCGUGCCCGCCCUUUGCCCGGCCCCCGUUAAUGAUCCACCCGCCGGCCCCCAGAGCCACCGGCGCGGCGGCAGCGGCGGCAGAGCCGGGGGUCCUCGGCACGGGCGGCUCGGGGGGGCUGGCGGCUCCCUGCCCUGCGCCCCACCCCGCUUCCCCGGCAGCCGGAUAAGAGAGGCUGCGGGCAGCGCCAGUGCCCAGCGCGGCGCGGGCACAGCCGUGCACCAUGGCCACGGUGAACCUCCGCGCCCUGACCUCCUGGGUGGGCAUCGCCCGCCUCCUCGCCCUCGUGCUCUCCUGCCUCACCUUCAGCUUGGUGGCCUCCACCGGGGACUUUGCGGGUCCCUACGGGACGUGGUGCAUGUUCACCUGGUGCUUCUGCUUCGCCGUGACGCUGCUGGUGCUGCUGCUGGAGCUGCUGGAGCUCUACCCGCUGCUGCCGCUCUCCUGGGAUGACUUCACCUCGGCUUUCUCCAUGCUGGCCGCUCUGAUGGUCUUCACCUCCUCGGUGGUGUUCCCUGCCAUCUUCAUCGACAGCUCCUGCAGCGGCAGCCACUGUGCCCGGCAGGCCGUGGCCACCGCCGCCUCCUGCCUCUGCUUCCUCGCCUACGCCACCGAGGUGUCGCUGACCCGCGCCAAGCCCGGCGACAUCAGCAGCUUCCUCUCCACCGUGCCUGGGCUCCUCAAGGUCUUUGAAACCUAUGUGGCUUGCCUGAUCUUCUCCUUGCUGCAGGACAACUAUAAGGAAUCUGGCCUGAUGUGGUGCUUGGCUGUCUACUCCAUCUGCUUCAUCUUCACCCUCCUCAUCAUCAUCUUCACCAUCGGCCGCUGCCUCACCUACAUUCCCUGCUCUCUGGAGAAGGUGCUGGUGGGCUACAACUUCCUGGCCCUGCUGAUGUACCUCACUGCCACCAUCAUGUGGCCUCUCUACAAUUUCAGGGGCAAGAGCCGCCCCGAUCCCUGCGGCACGGACUGCCCGUGGAACAGGCACCUGGGGGUCACCUUCCUCACCAUCUUCAACCUCAUCGCCUACUUGGUGGACCUGGUCUACUCCACCAGGAUGGUUUUUUUCAGGGCACCUCCCUAAGGGCUGUGGCCAGGGCUGGGGGCGGUGGGACAUGGCUGGUGCCGGUGCCGGUGCCGGUGCCGGUGCCGGUGCCGGUGCGGGGCUGCCGGCGGAGCUGAGGAAGAGGCCGGGUGCCUCGGAGAGCUCCUUGUCCCCGUGCUGGAGCACAGAGGCAGGGCGUGACCCAGGGGUGUGCUCAGCCCAGACCCCACGGGCUGCACACAGGGGGCUGGAGGGGCCACGAGGGGCUUGAGGGGGCUUUGGGAUUAAAUUGGGUCAUUUUUCACUG